rnacentral:rRNA from 1 species
CAGCCGUAAACUAUGCGCGUUAGGUGUAUCGGUGACCACGAGUUACCGAGGUGCCGAAGGGAAACCGUGAAACGUGCCGCCUGGGAAGUACGGUCGCAAGGCUGAAACUUAAAGGAAUUGGCGGGGGAGCACCACAACGGGUGGGGCCUGCGGUUUAAUUGGACUCAACGCCGGGAAGCUCACCGGAUAAGACAGCGGAAUGAUUGCCGGGCUGAAGACUCUGCAUGACUAGCUGAGAGGAGGUGCAUGGCGUAGACGUCU